CCUUCUCGGUGUAACUAGGUCAGCGCAAGGUGAUCCUGAGGAGAUAGGCGGCGCUCGGGGGGCGCCCUCGUUCCUCUUAUCGCGCCUUUGUCCCUCCCUCCGUUCCUUGCCCCGCACCCUCACUUUCGCCGCCCUGUGCGUUGCCUGUCCCGGAACUGGUUCCCUCAAGCCGCCCUCACCUGUUCUGACUUCCCCUCGAGGCACAAUAGCCUGAGAGAUCAGACGUGGGAGAUUAGAUUGCUCGGCGUCAGACCUACUUCUAGGCAACCCCCCCUAGACUGGAGCUGCUCGUCGUGGACAUUAGGAUCUAGUUGGGCAUGAGCCCUUAACUUAAGGGUCGGGGGGGAAGUGGCGGGUGCGGAGAGGAGGCGUGGAGAGUGUGAGGAAGAAGAGAGGCACUCUGAGAAGAAGUCGAACAACUAACCCCUCAUUUGGCCUGGUUUGGGUGAGAAGAUUGAGUCACUUGGGGAAAAAAAUAUUGGAGAAGUCAGAGAAGGUGUAAAUCAGUGGUGCCACAAACACCAGUUUACUUCCACUUUUCACCCCCCGGGUCUGUUUUGUCUGCGUGCAGCUCUCCUCGUGUCGGAGACGCUGAGUCAGUUCUCUACUGGUCUUGCCCUCUUCCGGAAAAAGAAAACACACCUGAGAAGUGGUAGUUCCUAUCCUAACCUACUGGGGCCCUUUAUACCAGGUGCCAAACUUCAUUAUCCACCCCACCACCUUGCCCGGGAGGGAGAUCUGUGAAAGCGAAACGUGAUUUAAGCUGGGAUCUGGCAGCAACUUCGUGGACUCUGAAGGGCACGUGGGAAAGGAGUUUUGAUUGAAGAAACCAAUGGCUGCAUUAAAUGAGUCUAUAGAAGAUUUUUCAUCUCUGGACAUGUCUAAUUGCAGAGCUCUAAUUGGAGGAACGUGUGGCAGUAUCUGAAAGGAGAAAAUAGGUGCUUGCUGCUUUGUUUCUGUCAAAACCUCUGAUGUUAGAAUAUGUACAAAAAAUGGGCACAAAAAGUUGGCUACAUAUAGCUUAAAGUGGGAAAAAUAAGCAAGAAGAUAAUUCUUACAGGUUCGCCAAGUGUGGCCUCAUGACCAGCAGCAUUUGUCACCUGGAAGUUUGUUAAUAAUUCAAAAUCUUGAGCCCCACCCCAGACUUACUGAGUCAGAGGCUCUGGGAGUGGAGCCCAGCAACCAGUGUUUUAACAAGCCCUUCAGACAAUGUUUUUUUUUUUUUUUUGAGACGAAGUCUUGCUCUGUCGCCCAGGCUGGAGCGCAGUGGCACAAUCUCGGCUCACUGCAAGUUCCGCCUCCCGAGUUCACGCCAUUCUCCUGCCUCAGCCUCCCGAGUAGCUGGGACUACAGGCGCCCGCCACCAUGGCCGGCUAAUUUUUUUUAUUUUUAAUAGAGACGGGGUUUCACUGUGUUAGCCAGGAUGGUCUCCCCUCGUGAUCCGCCCACCUCGGCCUCCCAAAGUGCUGGGAUUACAGGCGUGAGCCACCGCGCCAGGCCCAGAGAAGGUUAAUGAAUGCUAAAGUUUGCGAACCACCGUUUGAUAGGCUGAAAAUGGCACCUCAAAAGACAGUGCAUCUGAAUCCCUGGAACUUAUAAAAUAUUAUCUUAUUUGGCAAUAGGGUCUUUGCAGAUCUGAUUAAAGAUCUUAAGACAAGAAAUUAUCCUAGAUUACCUGGAUGAAUCCUAAAUACCGGCACAAGGACCCUUUUAAGAGAGAGACAGAGGGAGAUUACACACAUGGAAGAGGAGGAGGCACUGUGAUCACAGAGGCAGAGCCUGGAGUGACGCAGUAACAACCAAGGGAUGAGGGCAGCCACCGGAAACUGGAAAAGGAAAUGAAUGGAUUCUCCCCUACAGCAUGUGGAAGGAACACAGGCGGCUUUGCUGACCUCUUGAUUUCAGCCCAGUGAAACUGACUUCAAAUUUCCGAAUCAUAGUUCUGAAUUAGAACUGUGAGAAAGUGAAUUUCCGUUGUUUUAAGCUAUCAAGUUUGUGGCAAUUUGUUACAGAAGCCACAGGAAAGGAAUACACUCCUCAUAAAGAAUGAGGAGAUAUAUGCUAAACUACUUAAAAAUUUGUUAGAGUCUUAUAAGAAAAUAUACUUGUUAUUAUUUUCUAAAUAUCUAAAAUUAGUGAUCCUUUUGUAAAAUUUGCCACUUCUUAAACAUUUUUCCCAACACAGCUUGCCAUCAAAUGUUAAAGUGUAAUAAUUUUCAUAAUAUUGGCAUCAAACAUGGCCUUUAUAUAUCUUAAUUUUCAUAUGAUAGCACAUCCCACAGGAAAGAAAAUAAAUUCUCUUGACAGGAGGGAAAAAAAAACAGGACAUAUUUUGCUUAUAGGUGAGAUUUGCAUAGGUUAGAAAGCUGUCAUAAAGCUUUUUUAUGGUUAAGGAAAUGUUUUGUGGGAAAUAAUAUUGGCAUUUAUUUAUAGGAAAAUGUUUCACAAUAAAUAUUAGAAGAUAGUCUAUGUAUAAUCUAUGCUACUUGAUAAAAUAGUCGAGCUUUUAAAAAGAGAUCUGGAACACCUGGAACUUGUAAUAAUUUGUCUUCUGCACAAUGCUUCUCAGAUCAUUGUUAUAUAUAUAUAGAUAGCUCUAUAUAUGAAUAUAUAAAAGAAUAUGUAUAUAAAUAUGUACCCAUUUAAUUCUUACAACUGCAUACUAUAUGAGAUGAGCAGGUCAAGUAUUUUUAUUUUUCUUAUAUUACAGAUUAAAAAGUGAUGCUCAAAGAAGUUAAAUAACCGGCCCAAAUUCACAAAAAAAUGUAGAUACUAGAUUUUGUAUUAGAAACUACCUAAAUCUCCUGACAAUGCUAUUUCCAGGGUUUCAGGUUUCUUCAGCUGACCUCAACUGGGCAAAUUAAUAUUUGUGGUUAAUUACACUCUGGUUUAGAGACACUGUGAUCUGUUUCAACCAAUUCAAUAGGCAUUGCUGAGCAUCUAUUGUGUGUCUGAAACUGUGCUAGUUCAUCUAGGGGAACACAGAGAAAGUGCCAGACAUAUUACUGGUAGGGAGGAAAUGCCUAUGUAAAUGAAACAAAUAAGAAGGAGAAAGAAUAAAACCAAAUGCCUCAAUCUGGGAGAUUUCAUGCAGAAAAACCUUGAAGAAUGGAUGUGAUUCAGGAGGUGAAAGUUAGAAAAGCAUUGCAGGAGGCAAAAGAGUGUGUUGGGGAGUGGCGGGAGUGAAACAGCAUGAACAAAAGCGUAGAGAUUGAAAUAACAGGUGGCACCCAGAGAAAGUGAAGUGACAGCCUGAGGUGCCAGGAGCACCAUGUAUAUGUUGGUGAGUAGGGGGAGCUGGCUUCUCAGGGCCCACCUGGCCUCAGACAGUCUCACAGCAACCAAGAAUCUUUAGUAUUUCCAGUGAAUACACACCCUAGGAAAGUAAGGGAAAAGUAGUACUCACAUGUAAAAAUUAAAAUGCAUUUUAAAAACCUCACCUUUUGCCCAGCCCUACCAUUCUUGUCCUAUGGGUCCACCCUCUGGAAGCUUGUACCUCUGCUCCUGUGUUUUCUGAUGGUAAUAAACAGGUACAGGUGUAUGUGUUUGUAAAUGUAUUUGAACCAUGAGCCAUACAUUUCCUGUUUGCAAAAGAGGUGUCUUUCUUUAUGAAAAUGUUUUAAGAGUUCAAGGUGAGGACACAGUCUGCAAGGAGAUGGGAAAUCAAAAUUACGUUUACAUAAAGUGACAUGAAUUAGGGAGAGAGGCUUAACUGGAGAUAGAGGGAAGGGGAGGAAGCAGGAAGUGAAGAAGUGGGCAGAGCAGGAGGCCAGAGCCUGAGGAGAAAGGACAACUGGUCAGAAACUUCUGGGGCCAGAGUGGUAGAAAGGCUUUACAGAACAAUGAUAUUUUAAAUUAUUUUUGGUGUUUCCAUGUAAAACUUCUCCAUUGCUCUGAAUCUUCCAUAAAAGUUAGUUACACCCAGAACCUGGAAUGGGUGGUAUUUUGGGGAAGUACCUAAAGUGAGGUGCAGAUGUGUAGGACUCAGGGCCAUGUCCAGCAUGGACAACAGAGUAGCAAUAUUUAUGCAAAGGCAACAUGACCCACAGACCAGAUGAAGUUCUCCCUUGAUGACAAAGAGAAACCCAGGCACAUUGUCUUCUUUCCCCAGAGUUGCUGGAGAAAAUGGGAAGCUUGUUGAGUUUUCCAUUUCAUAUAGGUUAGGGUUUCAACCAAUUUCAUUUGAUCCAUAUAGGCCAUGGUGAUCCCUGCAUAGAUCUGGGCUACCGCAGCUCAUGGUCAUCACUGGCAACCAUGCUUUGGUCUCUGCUUCACUGUGCUAGUCUGCCACCAUGGAAAGGCCUUUCUGUUUGCUGAAAGUCACCAGGCAAGUGAGCCAGCUCCUGGAGGAGGAGGUAGAGCUAGAUCGGCCAAAUGUAGUCUCCAGAGAGUGACUCAAAUUUGGCUUCUCUUGGCUCCAGAGUCUAUUUUCUGUUUACUAAGGAAUUAAUCAUGGUUUCCAAAUUGGUCUGCCAGGACACCAGCAAGGCUGGUUAAAGCAGAGGUGCCGGGUUUGGGAUUUUUCCAUGCCCUGGUUGGUGAUUUUCAGCAGGAAAAUGAAGGGAUGUGCUUCCUCCUUUAUAGCUGCCCGAAAAAUUAUUGAAAGUCCCAUAACUUAUCUGAUUCUGGUCACUUGUGUCAGCAUAAACGCACCAGGUUUAUAGCAACUGAGGUGAGAUGCCUCACUUCUUUAGCAUCUGAAGUGAGAUGUGUCAAUUCUUUUUCUUUUUUUUGUCAGCAUAAAGUGAGGUGUGGAUGUGAAGAACUCAGGGCCAUGUCCAGCAUGGGCAACAGCAAUAGUAGCACUUAUGCAAUGGAAAGAUGAUCCACAGCCCAGAUGAAAUUAAAGCCUUUGGUGAAAAAGAUAAAUCCAAGUACAUUGUCCUCCUUCCCCCCAACUGCUGGUUUGAGUAACACAAUUUGGUGGCUAUUUGAAUUAAUUUAAUAAUUGUUUAAUAAAUAACCAACAUGUGCUAGGCUACAGAAUCCCAUGUUUGAUUUAGCAUCUAGGGAAGUCAGUCAGGGUUUGGAGAUACUGUGAACAUAUCUUUCUUUACUUUUUCUUUUUUCGAGACAGGGUCUUGUUCUGUCACCUAGGCUGGAGUGGCAUGAUCAUGGCUCACUGCAACUUCUGCCUCCCUGGCUCCCAGCCUCAAGUGAUCCUCCCACUCCAGUCCCCUGAAGCAACUGGGACCACAGAGUAAUUUUAUGCUGAUUGAAGAAAAGAAGUAAACAGAGUUCCAGAAAGCAACUGCAAAUACUCAUUUUGAAAAAGAAAACAAAACAAAAACAAGGGAGACAUUUUAAAAGGUGCUAAAGCAACAGGACCAGUUGCCAGAGAGCUUAUUUUACCUCCCCAAAACAAGAUUGGUGUUUCAUCCUUGAGUUUAGUACACAGGAUUGUUCUUAUUCUUCUGCAGAUAGAGAGGUGCACUGCUUUAUGCUGCAAGUUGUCUAUAAGACAAGUUUUGUGAGUAUCAAAUAUUUGUAAGCAAAUCAAAUUUCUCCCCCAGUUGAAAUGAUUAUUUCAGAAGAAUUUCUUCUUUGUUUUGAAUUGGACUUCUGAGUUGGACUUCUCAGCAUGAUAAAGAAGAAAGAGCAUUAGAAUAAGAAAGAAGAUUAAGCUUCUUGUUUUGAUUAUGCCCAUAAUCAGCUGUGGGACCCCGGGCUAAUGCACUCCAAAAUCCCACUGUUCUGUGACCUUGCUAUGUGGGGCAUCAGCCUCCUCAUCUCUAAUAUUUUGGAUUUAAGUUAGUUGAUUUUUAUGGUCCCGCAAUGGAAUUCUUUAAACAACUCCACUAAUCCAUGAUACUGUUGCUUUAAAAAUCUUGGUUUUAGCUUUCCUCUAAGGAAUUUAUAGUGACAAUUAUCUACUUUUUUUUUCUUAAAUAAAAAUAGAGGUGGGGUUUUGCCAUGUUGCCCAGGCUGGUCUCAAACUCUUGGGCUCAAGUGAUCUGCCCACCUUGGCCUCCUAAAGUGCUGGGAUGACAGGUGUGAGCCACUGUACCCGGCCAGACCAUAUGUCUCUAGCAUUUUGAUAACAUUCUCUACAAUCUGGGCCCUGUAUAACUCCCCAGUCUUCAGACUACUACUCUCUAUGCUCACAUCUUUGGCGAUUUUAUACUCUUUGCCAAUUUAGAUGCCAUUUGUUUUUUCGUUUCCAGUAGAUUAGUAUGUCCAACCCAGAUUUUGGUAAACCCUAGACUCAUUCUACAGUCUGUGACAUCUCCAUUUGGAUUUCUUAUUGGCAUCUCAGACUCCAUAUGUCUAACCUGGAAUGCCUGAUCUCCAUUGCCUCCUAAACCGGCUUCUCUCACGGCUCUCCCAUCUCGGGGCCCAGCAUCUCAGACCUUUGCCUUGCUUACACCAGACAUUUUGUUGUUAUCUGUACCACCUCCUUCUCGUGCAGUCUACUUGAUGCCACCUAAUUGGUAUCCCUGGCUUCUGCCCUUGUUCUCUUAACGAAUCAUUUUCCAAACAGCAGCCAGAGUGAUCCUUUCAAAAAUGGAUUCAGAAAUCAUGUCACUGCUCUGCCCAAAGUUCCCAAAUGACUUCCCAGUCACUCAGAGCACAAGCUGACGCUCGACACAUCUGGGCCCCGUAAGAUUUUCAUUUCUGCUCCUCCUCCUUUUGCUCACUCUGCCCCUGCCACAUUGGUCUCCUGCUUUCCCGGAACUUGCCCAACAUGUUCCUCCCUCAGGGCCUUCACAUUUGUCAUUUCCUGUCCUAUGAUGCUCUUCCUGCAGAUAUCUACAGCAGCUCCCCGCUGCUCCUUUUGCAGGUUUUUGUUCAGAUGUCAUCUUCCUGGUGAGCUCUUCCCUGAACAACUCCUCACCCCCUCCACCUUGCCCCUGGGACUCCCUUUGACCUUUCUCGGAUUGUUUUCCCUGUAACUCUUGCCACCACCUCAUACAGGGCUUCUCAAGCUUGGCAUGAUUGGCAUUUUGGGACAGUUCUUUGUUGCGGGCUAUUAUCCUGUGCCUUGCAGGAUGUUUAGCAGCAUCACCACCCUCGACCCACUCAAUACCUGCAACUUUCCUCCCUAGGUUGUGACAGCCAGAAAUGUCUCCAGACACUGCCAAAUGUCUCCUGGGGGACAAAACCACCCCUGGUUGAGAAUCUUUGAUAUAAUGUAAAUAUGCAUUUUACCUAUGUAUUUGUUUAUUGUUCCUCCCUUCCCCACCAAUAAAAUAUAAUCUCCAUGAGAACAGGAA